ACUUGCGGGGGAAGCGCGCGGCGAGAGGAGCCCGAGGCGGAAAAGUAGCUGUCAAAUGCGCGGCGCCUUUAAGCGGAGCCCUCAGUCCGGCUCGGAGAGUCAUGGCGACCACCGCGUCUAACCACUACAGCCUGCUCGCCUCCAGCUCGCCCAUGGUGCACGCCGAGCCGCCGGGGAGCAUGCAGCCGGGCGCCGGCUACAGGGACGCCCAGGCGCUGGUGCAGGCGGACUACGCGCUGCAGAGCAACGGGCACCCGCUCAGCCACGCUCACCAGUGGAUCACGGCGCUGUCCCACGGCGGCGGAGGAGGCGGCGGCGGCGGCGGGGGUGGCGGCGGCGGCGGCGGCGGGGACUCGCCCUGGUCCUCCAGCCCGCUGAGCCAGCAGGACAUCAAGCCCUCGGUUGUGCAGGCCGGCGGCCGGGGGGACGAGCUGCAGCAGCAGCAGCACCACCCGCAGCAGCAGCAGCAGCAGCAGCAGCAGCCCGGCAGACCGCCACACCUGGUGCACCACGCCGGCAGCCACCACGCCGCCGUGGCCGCGGCCGUGGCCUGGAGGACCGGCGGCUCGGCUCACCUGCCGCCGGGCAUGGCGGCGUCCAACGGCGGCGGCCAGGGCGGGCUCCUCUACUCGCAGCCGCCGGGCUUCACGGUCAACGGGAUGCUGGGCGCGGGACAGCCGAGCAUGCACCACCACGGCCUGCGGGAAGCCCACGAGGAGCAGCAGCAGCAGCAGCAGCAGCAGCCGCCGCCCCCUCCGCCGCCCCCGCAUCACCCCGACCACCUCCCCCAGGCGCCGCCGCACCCGCACGCCGGCCAGCCGCCGCCGCACCACCUCCCGCACCACCACCACGAGGCGCACUCGGACGAGGACACGCCGACCUCGGACGACCUGGAGCAGUUCGCCAAGCAGUUCAAGCAGCGGCGGAUCAAACUGGGAUUUACCCAAGCGGACGUGGGCUUGGCGCUGGGCACGCUCUACGGCAACGUCUUCUCGCAGACCACCAUCUGCCGCUUCGAGGCCCUGCAGCUGAGCUUCAAGAACAUGUGCAAGUUGAAGCCCUUGUUGAACAAGUGGCUCGAGGAGGCGGACUCGUCGUCGGGCAGCCCCACCAGCAUAGACAAGAUCGCGGCGCAAGGGCGCAAGCGGAAAAAGCGCACCUCCAUCGAGGUGAGCGUCAAGGGCGCCCUCGAGAGCCAUUUCCUCAAGUGCCCCAAGCCCUCCGCCCAGGAGAUCACCUCGCUGGCGGACAGCCUCCAGCUCGAGAAGGAGGUGGUCCGCGUGUGGUUUUGUAACAGGAGACAGAAAGAGAAACGCAUGACCCCCCCGGGGGGGACUCUGCCGGGAGCCGAGGACGUGUAUGGGGCCAGCAGGGACACGCCGCCGCCGCCGCACCACGGGGUACAGACUCCUGUGCAGUGAACUCCGCCGCCACCGGCGGAGCGGGAGGAGCAGGGAGUGACCUGGGGAGGGGGGCCGGCCCCUGGCCCCCUCCCCCUAACCCCCUUACUCCUCCAGCCUUUUGAUUGUUUCCCUCCUCCCCCCCUUAAAACAAACAAAACAAAACAAAAAAGGCAGACAAACAGGAAGGAAGGAAGGCGACUGCGCUGAACUCUCCCUGAAACGGUAGCAAAGUGUGUAAUGAAUGGUGUGUUUUGACCUUUACAGGCGACUAACCAGGCAAUGGAGUGCAUUUGUUCUUCCAAAUUCGAGAAGAAAAAGUUUGCAUGCUUCUUUGUGCUACUGCUAAUGGAGGGGAUCCUGGUGAUGUCUGCAGGGGGUCAGGAGCAGUAGAAUUGGUUCUCGGAUGCAACAGGCCCACAGAAAAUAACUUGCUUCUCUGUGUACUGAAGGAACAAGACUGGGGAGAUGCUCUUCCCCUCCCUUCAAAUCACCCCCUGACAACGUUGCUUCAAAGCUGCCUUUAAUUACGGAACAACUUGCUUGAUAGCCGGAUAGAAGAACGCGGCCUUCCCUUCACAAAGCGUCUAAAUUCCACAAGCUCUCUAUCUAUUCAACGAGCCCUAAUGGGCUUUGGCUUCUCAUAUUAUUAUUCAUUAUCAUCUCUGGGGUGGUUCUGGAUUAUGUGGUUUCUUCGCUCACCACAUCUUGUUUUAUCUCUCUCUUUCAUUGUUGUUAUUGCUGGGUCGUGUUGGUGUUCAGUUUUCACCAUGGAAUGAAUUAUUCCUAUUUAACACACAAUAGGGGAGAACACUACACGGUUACAGGGCUGCUUUCAUUUCUGCUUUUUCUUUUAUAAUGCUCUUGCAGCAAGAACUUCGCAAGAGCGUCAUGCAAGGGAGCAUUUAAAUGUAACCCCCCCUCCCAAUGCCUGUGAAACCUUUCACACAGAGAAAGAACCGCAGAACUAUUUACCAGCAAAUACUUAAACAUGCUAUACCAUUUCGCUUGAAUAAUCACAGGAUGCUGACACCCACAAAAAGACAAAAAGUCAUUAUUACUUUCCAAACAUUUACCAAAAAAAACAACAACACCCCACACCCUGGACUAGUCUCAUCAAAUGUUGUGGCACUGUUGAGGAGUAAUUGGGUUGCAGUCUGUUUAAUUCUCAUUGUGCUUCCUCUAGCCACUGAGGUCACUUGACACUUGUGCGUACGCAUUGUCAUUUGUUGCCCAAUUGCUGUGACAAGAACCAAGUACCCCAUUACUAUCAGGUACCUGCUAGGUGACCACUAAGCAAUGCCCAUAGACAGAGGCAAUUUCACUAUACGUUAAUGAGAAUCUACCAGGAGUGAACUGCUUUCUACCUCUGCCAUGAUUUCAGGACAGAUGGCAACUUUUUGAAGGGGUAGGUUCCAUAGAAAUGUAUGGUGUGCUCUAAAACUGCUCUGGAUUAAUCAGUUUAAGUGUUGUGAGCUAUAUCAUCUGUCCUACAAGAACUACACAAAAUGUGAAAUGUAUAAUGACAAAAUAGGGGAAGCUUUUUUUAAAAAAAUGGGAUCCUCUUUUGAACUUCAGAAAUUUGUCCAAUAAAAAAAUGUCACCUUA